UAGGGAAUCUUCCGCAAUGGACGAAAGUCUGACGGAGCAACGCCGCGUGUAUGAAGAAGGUUUUCGGAUCGUAAAGUACUGUUGUUAGAGAAGAACAAGGAUAAGAGUAACUGCUUGUCCCUUGACGGUAUCUAACCAGAAAGCCACGGCUAACUACGUGCCAGCAGCCGCGGUAAUACGUAGGUGGCAAGCGUUGUCCGGAUUUAUUGGGCGUAAAGCGCGCGCAGGCGGUCUUUUAAGUCUGAUGUGA
rnacentral:rRNA from 1 species